AGAGAAGAUUAGCAUGGCCCCUGCGAAAGGAUGACAUGCAAAUUCGUGAAGCGUUAUACAUUUAA
rnacentral:snRNA from 1 species